AAAACUUCAGCAGGAAGUGAAAAGUUUGAGAGUUUGUGUGUGAGCAUGCGCAGUUCCACCCUGUUGAUCUGCACGUGUUUACCUGAAGUCCAGCCUGUUAGGAGCCUCAGACACACAAUGAGUUCAGCAGGAACAGGAUCAUCUCUGCGGGUCCAUGCAGUCCGAUUUGGUCCUGGUCAGGAGCUGCUGGGGUCUCUGCAGGCCUUUGUGGAGGAAAGACGACUCCGAGCACCGUUCAUCAUCACCUGUGUGGGCAGCGUCACCAAGGCAACGCUGAGGCUGGCCAACGCCACGGCGACAAAUACAAACGAGGUACUUGGCAGCAGCAUGGAGGCCUGAGGACACCACGAGGGUUAAAGCUCUCGGCCUUCUGUCUCAGGUGAUGCACCUCACAGGGAGGUUUGAGAUCGUCUCCCUGGUCGGAACGCUCAACCCAGAAGCCCACCUCCACAUCAGCCUGGCGGACGGCGAGGGCAGGACAAUCGGGGGACACGUGUUGGGGGAUCUGGAGGUUUUCACCACAGCCGAGGUGGUCGUUGGGGAGGCGGUUGACCUGCAGUUCACCAGAGAGAUGGACCAACAGACGGGUUUCCCUGAACUGGUGGUUAGAGGACGUUCACAGACAAAUGAAUCAGCCUGACUGGACUUAAACCUGUCCUCACUGUCAUCUUUAUUAUCAGAAAACAAAACUGAAUUUUAUUAAUAUUUUGAAGAUAAUUCACUCUAUUUUAGGUGUAAUAAAUGUCAAAGAAAAAAGCAACGAAAAAA